GCAUAUGAUGAGGACAGCCAGGGCAUCUUAUGCACCCCUGAAGUAGUCCCAUCCACCGCAUCUGUAUCAGUUCAGAAUGUAUAUCCUUCUCAGACCGUAAUCUGGCCAGGGAGCGGACUGUUUGAAGCAGGUGACGAAGCAAUACUAGACAGCGUUUUGGAUUACGAGAACGAGAGUGGGCUUCUAUCUCUAUCUGAAAUUCAUACAACAGACAGACCUGAGACACCUCCGACUAACGAGUGCAGACCAGAACCCGCUCACAAGGUGAACAAGGCUACUUGUGGUACCAGCGAAGACGGUGUCUACCCGCUACUCGUCAUACCCGACACGCCAGAAAAGCAAGGGAGACAACCGGCUAACA